rnacentral:rRNA from 1 species
ACGGGGUGCAGCAGGCGCGAAACCUGGCCAAUGAGCGCAAGCUUGAGCCGGUUAAACCGAGUGGGGUCCUAACGGGUCCCUUUUAACGAGUGUUAGUAGCUCGUUGAAUAAGGAGAGGGCAAGACUGGUGCCAGCCGCCGCGGUAAGACCAGCUCUUCGAGUGGUGGGCGUGCUUACUGGGCCUAAAGCAUCCGUAGCCGGGUCUGCAAGUCCACAGUUAAAGCCCACGUCUUAAGCGUGGAAUCGCUGUGGAUACUACAGACCUUGGGAUCGGGAGAGGCGUGAGGUACGUUUCGGGUAGGGGUGAAAUCCGAUAAUCCGAAACGGACCACCGGUGGCGAAGGCGUCACGCUAGAACGAGUCCGACGGUCAGGGAUGAAAGCCAGGGGAGCGAGCCGGAUUAGAUACCCGGGUAGUCCUGGCUGUAAACGAUGCCCGCUAAGUGUUGCGCAUGGCACGACUAUGCGCAGUGCCGAAGGGAAGCCGCUAAGCGGGCCGCCUGGGAGUACGUCGCAAGAC